UACGAAGGGGGCUAGCGUUGCUCGGAAUCACUGGGCGUAAAGGGUGCGUAGGCGGGUCUUUUAAGUCAGGGGUGAAAUCCUGGAGCUCAACUCCAGAACUGCCUUUGAUACUGAGGAUCUUGAGUUCGGGAGAGGUGAGUGGAACUGCGAGUGUAGAGGUGAAAUUCGUAGAUAUUCGCAAGAACACCAGUGGCGAAGGCGGCUCACUGGCCCGAUACUGACGCUGAGGCACG
rnacentral:rRNA from 1 species